rnacentral:lncRNA from 1 species
GAGCCUGUAAGGUCGAGGAUCAGGUCAUGACAGCUAGGUAGAUGGCUUCCUCAGAACCAGUGGAGAGAUGGUGUUGGCUGGCACGACAGAAAAGCCACUGAAGUGAAUUCUCAUCACUAUGGCCCCCAUUCUGUUGGACAGACCUCCAGUCAAAGUUAGCUGCUAUUGUUAUGCUGAAUGGAGGAGAUGUGCCGAGCCUGAGGAAGAAUCCAUGAAGGAUGGAAGAGGUGACCUUGAACAAGUCAAAUAAUCUCACAUCUUUGAGACACCAUUUUGUCCUCAGCAAAAUGUAAAUAUUUGGUCCCAAGAGGAAAAAUGAGAAAAAAAAAAUGUGCAAACUUGAGUUUGUUUUGUGUAAGAGCAAACAUACCCCUCUCCAGCUAGAGGGAGCAAACUGCUG